GAUGAACGCUGGCGGCGUGCCUAAUACAUGCAAGUCGAGCGAACAGACGAGGAGCUUGCUCCUCUGACGUUAGCGGCGGACGGGUGAGUAACACGUGGAUAACCUACCUAUAAGACUGGGAUAACUUCGGGAAACCGGAGCUAAUGCCGGAUAAUAUAUUGAACGGCAUGGUUCAAUAGUGAAAGACGGUUUUGCUGUCACUUAUAGAUGGAUCCGCGCCGCAUUAGCUAGUUGGUAAGGUAACGGCCUACCAAGGCAACGAUGCGUAGCCGACCUGAGAGGAUGAUCAGCCACACUGGAACUGAGACACGGUCCAGACUCCUACGGGAGGCAGCAGUAGGGAAUCUUGCGCAAUGGGCGAAAGCUUGACGGAGCAACGCCGCGUGAGUGAUGAAGGUCUUCGGAUCGUAAAACUCUGUUAUUAGGGAAGAACAAAUGUGUAAGUAACUAUGCACGUCUUGACGGUACCUAAUCAGAAAGCCACGGCUAACUACGUG
rnacentral:rRNA from 1 species